UACGUAGGCAGCAAGCGUUGUUCGGAAUUACUGGGCGUAAAGAGUGUGUAGGCGGUGCUCUAAGUUUGGUGUGAAAUCUCCCGGCUCAACUGGGAGGGUGCGCCGAAUACUGAAUGACUAGAGUGCGGGAGAGGAAAGUGGAAUUCCUGGUGUAGCGGUGAAAUGCGUAGAUAUCAGGAGGAACACCGGUGGUGUAGACGGCUUUCUGGACCGUAACUGACGCUGAAACACGAAAGCGUGGGUAGCAAACAGG
rnacentral:rRNA from 1 species